UACAGAGGUCUCAAGCGUUGUUCGGAUUCAUUGGGCGUAAAGGGUGCGUAGGUGGCGCUGUAAGUCGGGUGUGAAAUUUCGGGGCUUAACUCCGAAACUGCAUUCGAUACUGCGGUGCUUGAGGACUGGAGAGGAGACUGGAAUUCAUGGUGUAGCAGUGAAAUGCGUAGAGAUCAUGAGGAAGACCAGUGGCGAAGGCGGGUCUCUGGACAGUUCCUGACACUGAGACACGAAGGCCAGGGGAGCAAACGGG
rnacentral:rRNA from 1 species